rnacentral:rRNA from 1 species
ACUCCUACGGGAGGCAGCAGUGGGGAAUAUUGCACAAUGGGCGCAAGCCUGAUGCAGCAACGCCGCGUGAAGGAAGACGGUCUUCGGAUUGUAAACUUCUGUUCUUAGUGAAGAAAAAUGACGGUAGCUAAGGAGCAAGCCACGGCUAACUACGUGCCAGCAGCCGCGGUAAU